rnacentral:rRNA from 1 species
UACGUAGGCAGCGAGCGUUGUUCGGAAUUACUGGGCGUAAAGAGUGUGUAGGCGGUGCUCCCAGUCUGUUGUGAAAUCUCCCGGCUUAACUGGGAGGGUGCAGCGGAAACUAGAGUGCUAGAGGGGUGGGAGAGGUAAGCGGAAUUCCUGGUGUAGCGGUGAAAUGCGUAGAUAUCAGGAGGAACACCUGUGGUGUAGACAGCUUACUGGACCACUUCUGACGCUGAGACACGAAAGCGUGGGUAGCAAACAGG